rnacentral:rRNA from 1 species
AUUGAACGCUGGCGGCAUGCCUUACACAUGCAAGUCGAACGGCAGCACGGGUGCUUGCCCCUGGUGGCGAGUGGCGAACGGGUGAGUAAUGCAUCGGAACAUGUCCUGUAGUGGGGGAUAGCCCGGCGAAAGCCGGAUUAAUACCGCAUACGAUCUACGGAUGAAAGCGGGGGACCUUCGGGCCUCGCGCUAUCGGGUUGGCCGAUGGCUGAUUAGCUAGUUGGUGGGGUAAAGGCCUACCAAGGCGACGAUCAGUAGCUGGUCUGAGAGGACGACCAGCCACACUGGGACUGAGACACGGACCAGACUCCUAAGGGAGGCAGCAGUGGGGAAUGUUGGACAAUGGGCGAAAGCCUGAUCCAGCAAUGCCGCGUGUGUGAAGAAGGCCUUCGGGUUGUAAAGCACUUUUGUCCGGAAAGAAAUCCUUGGCCCUAAUACGGUCGGGGGAUGACGGUACCGGAAGAAUAAGCACCGGCUAACUACGUG